rnacentral:rRNA from 1 species
CAAGGCUUGACAUGGACUCGCACCAGCCGUAACGGGCUGUUCCUUCGGGACGGGUUCACAGGUGCUGCAUGGCUGUCGUCAGCUCGUGCCGUGAGGUGUAGGGUUAAGUCCCGCAACGAGCGCAACCCCUGUCGUCGGUUAGGAUGUCCGAGGAGACCGCCACGAUCAACGUGGAGGAAGGUGGGGAUGACGUCAAGUCAGCACGGCCCUGACGUCCUGGGCGACACACACGCUACAAUGGCCGAGACAGAGGGUUGCCAACCCGCGAGGGGGAGCCAAUCCCAGCAAACUCGGUCUCAGUUCAGAUUGCAGGCUGCAACCCGCCUGCAUGAAGGCGGAGUUGCUAGUAAUCGCGGAUCAGCAUUGCCGCGGUGAAUACGUUCCC